GAUGAACGCUAGCGAUAGGCUUAACACAUGCAAGUCGAGGGGCAGCAUGGUCUUAGCUUGCUAAGACUGAUGGCGACCGGCGCACGGGUGCGUAACGCGUAUGCAACUUGCCUCACAGAGGGGGAUAACCCGUCGAAAGACGGACUAAUACCGCGUACACUCUAUUUUGGGCAUCCAAGGUAGAGGAAAUGAAAUUCGCUGUGAGAUAGGCAUGCGUCCCAUUAGCUAGUUGGUGAGGUAACGGCUCACCAAGGCGACGAUUGGUAGGGGAACUGAGAGGUUGAACCCCCACACUGGUACUGAGACACGGACCAGACUCCUACGGGAGGCAGCAGUGAGGAAUAUUGGUCAAUGGGCGAGAGCCUGAACCAGCCAAGUCGCGUGAAGGAUGACUGUCUUAUGGAUUGUAAACUUCUUUUGUAGGGGAAUAAAGAGGGGCACGUGUGCCCCAGUGAAUGUACCCUACGAAUAAGCAUCGGCUAACUCCGUG
rnacentral:rRNA from 1 species